GUGAUAAUGAUGAAGCAAUAAAUCUAAUCCAACACUUGAUCUGAUUAAUGCUAUGUGCAUUUGAUGUUAUCCAUGUUUAGCUUCUGAAUCUUC
rfam:Brassica napus, WGS project CCCW01000000 data, contig: 4592